UACAGAGGGGGCAAGCGUUGUUCGGAAUUACUGGGCGUAAAGGGCGCGUAGGCGACCUUCUAAGUCGAACGUGAAAUCCCUGGGCUCAACCCAGGAACUGCGUCCGAUACUGGAAGGCUUGAAUCCGGGAGAGGGAUGCGGAAUUCCAGGUGUAGCGGUGAAAUGCGUAGAUAUCUGGAGGAACACCGGUGGCGAAGGCGGCAUCCUGGACCGGUAUUGACGCUGAGGAGCGAAAGCCAGGGGAGCAAACGGG
rnacentral:rRNA from 1 species